GGGGGAGGGGGGGAGUCCCGGGAAAGCACGAGCGGGAAAGCCGUGCAGCCUUGGGUGCGGAGAAAGCGGAGCUCAGUGCCAAAGCCUGGGUGUGCAAAGAAAGGCGCUGGCUCCCGCCGAAUUCCCAGAAGGCAGAUGCUAGAAUCUGCAGCCCGGGCGGAAUGCACAAGCGUGGCCGAGAGGUUUGCUCCGUGCACCUGUGGUAUAGAGUGCGCUUGCAGAAGGUUUCUGCUGUGACUCAUCAUCCCUGAGUAAUUUCCCCAUGCUGUACAGAAGAAUGAAGAGAGGGAGGUCCACUGGAGGGAACACCUCAGGCAUUGCCAAACCAUGGAGGGUCAGAAAAUGAAGUCCAGUGAGACGCUGUCCCUUGAAGAAGUGAUGUAAAUCUUGAGCCUGGGUGCCUUGAUCUUUGAAGGUGACUGCGGUCUCCGCGUGACCCCUUUUAUGUCCUGUAAGCCCUUGCCCAAUGUCCCUUCUCCAGCAUCUCUUGCUUCUUCCUCUGUUCUCACCUCUCUCUUUGAGCUCACCACUUUCUAACGUGUUUGAUCUACUACGAUCUUGAUAAUCCACGGUCUCCUCCACACAUCGCAGCAGAAGUUCCACGGUGCCAGGAAGCUUGGAACAUAAAAGUGCCUGAACUGGCCGUGUCUUUAAUUCCAGCACACGCAUGGUCAAGGCAGCAGAACAGCUGAGAGUCUGAGGCCAGCCUUGACUACAGAGUGAGAACCUGUCUUGAAACAAAAACAAAGCAAAAUGAUGUCUGAUAUAUAGUACACGCUCAUCUUCUUUGAAUGAGGGACUGGGGGUGUAACUUAGUAGGUAGAGUGCUUUCCAGCAUCACACAGACACAUCACAGUGGUUAUGACAGCACUUAUCUGUGAUCCCAGCAGGAGGUGGAGGUCCUAAGAUUAGAAAUUCAAGGUCAUCUUAGGCUGUAUAGCCAGAAACCCUGUGAGAAAAAGAAAGGAAGGAAGGAAGGAAGGAAGGAAGGAAGGAAGGAAGGAAGGAAGAAAGUUAGUUAAAUGAACGAGUAAAGUGUAGAAAGGUGUUUGCUUUAGUUCAGGGUUCUCUGGAGGAAGAGCCCGUAGGCAAGGAAGCAGGAAGUUGCCUGUGAUUUGCCUCAUGCUCUAGCAGGGGUGGGAUUUUUUUCUAGCUUCAGAUAGCUUCUGCGAUUGGGUGACAUUUGCAAUUCUGGGUGUUUUUCAGGAGUUAUCUAAAUGCUAGGGUCCUGAGAGGCAUGGUGGGCUGUCGGUUGUUGUGGGUCACAGUUUGUUAAGUAGUCAUGCGCAAAGAAAAAGAAGAAACAACAAGAAGACAUUAGAUAUCCCGGUGGCAAAAAACAAACUUAACCCCAUGGAACUCAGUGCCCCUAAUCAGCAGGAAGUAGUCUAACGUUAACGUUUCCCCCUUUCUGAUCCCUGACUUAAAAGAUCUCUUUCCUCUUUCCCCUGUAUCCUUUUUUCUCUCCUGCCUAGUGUGAGGGGGUUGAAGGGGUGGGAAAAGGGUAGAGAAGGGUAGAAGAAAAAAAAAACCUAUAAAGUGACAAAAAGACCACCGGUUCCAGAAAGGAGGAGGCAGGGGAAAGUUGGUUGAGAUUUAUUCUAAUAAUUUAGCUAUGCCAGGUGGGUGUGGCACUUUUAAUCCCAGCAUUUGAGAAGAGGUAGAGACAGAUGAACCCUGUGAGUUCAAGGACAGGCACAUCUACAUAGCGAGGCACUGUUUUAAAACAAGACAGAAUUUGGUUAUGCACCUAGGGAGGCCGAUCUACCCCUAAGCCUUGCAUUAGCACACUGCAGACCCAGCAGGGCUAGUGGCGUAGUUCUAAUGUGAUUAUCAGCAGGCUCAAGACCCAGAAGAGUUGAUGUUUAGGGGAAAUUCCAAGGAAUGUCCCAGGUUGAGGGACCCAGAUUGAGAGGGCCCUUUCUCAGGAGAAGACCUUUCUGUUCUAUUUAUGCCUUUGGCUGGUGUGCUGAGGCUCACACACAUUGUGGAAGGUUAUCAACUUUAUUCAGGCCAACAAUUCCAGGAUAAUCUCUCCCCAAAACACUCUCACAAACACACUCAGAACAGUGUCUGAGUAGGUGUGAGGCCACUCUGCAGUUCAGGACAGCUCACAUACAAAAUGAACUUCCUGAUGUUGCAAAUGAUGCAGAAAUCAUUCUCAGACCCAGUGGGAGAUGAUUUACAUGACAGAAGGGGAGGUGACCUAUUGGGGAUACCACGGUACUAGUUCAGAUGUUUCUAUGAAAGCAUCCGUUAUUGGUGGCUUCAGAGGACCCUCUGGAGACCCAUGAGUGACAUCAGACAGUAAGAGCUGGUCAGGGUUGAGGUAUACGGAGAGGAACAGCCUGAAUUGCUGUGGUGGCGAAUGAGCAUGACAGUGUCUCUUGGGCCAUUUAAAUUGCUCAGGCAGAGAAACUGUAAAUGGGCUUCCUUCUGGGGGGGUUGGGGGGGUCAAUCCACUUAGUAGGUCUUCCUUGUGUUGUGAGACUAGGUGUUUUAUGGCAUAGUCACAGACCUGGUCUUGGAGUGAGGCUAUAAGAGUUCUCCAGAAAGCAAGUCUCCACCCACCUUGUUCUCCAAACUGUAGGGUACUGUCAGCAGCCACACCCUCAGAUUGUGGGUUGUGGCGGUCAAUAACAACCCAUCUAUUAGUCCAAGCGGGACACUGAACGAAACACAAUGAAGACCCAAAAUAACUUUGGGUUACCCAAACAACCCUUUUUGCUAAUUCCAUCGUCAUAAACAGCCUGGGUUCCUCGUAUAUAUCCCCACUGUUUAUGUACACCGGCGUGUGCAGGGGCUCUCUCUGUGCCCGAUGUUCUCAAACUUCGUAGAAUCGGGUGAAAAUGGAAGAAAGCACUUGCCUCUCUGGAUGCUUCGAGUUGCAAUAAGGUGCCACUUGACAUCACCCUGUGGAGUCACAGCCUUCACAUCCCCCAUGAGACUGAUAGCCUCACCCUUUUGCUAACACACUUGGGAGAUAGGGCAACAGCGUGGGUCCGGGGCCUCAUUAUUUCCACCCACCAUUUUAAAGAGAUUCGUUACCUCCUACGGGUGAUGGGACUGCCGCUGUGCCGCCUGUCAAGGGGAAAGCAGUGACUCAUUCAUCUCUUUGAUGUUUCUGUGUGCAUCUCUUCCUGGCCCCCGAAACGUGGGAAUUUGCAGUUGUCUUGCUUUGACAAGAGAGGUGGAUGAAUGCUGUCUCAUCACCUCCGCUAUAGGGUUGACUCAUGAAAAUGGCCAUAGUUUUGUAUCUUCGCUCUGGUCCUUCCGCUCAGUUCAGAUCCCUGAAGAAUUAUUUCUCCUGAGUAGAGCUGCCUUGUAAGCCUUGAGAGGAAGGCAUGGGUCCAAACUCUGCCAAAAACAGUCCAAGUUGGCGUGGGGCCAGCCAGUUGGCUGUUGAGCAGAGUCCUCUCCCAGCCUCUCCAGGCCCCCCUCCGGCUCCCUUUUACAGCUGUCUGCCCUCAGGUAAUCAUGGGCACUCUGCGGGUCCCUGGCUCUUUUCAUUCCCGUGUUUCAGAUCACUUUACACACAUUAAUUAAGCCUUAAAACACUCAGGAAAGGAAAGCCAAAGGCAGCGGGAAUGUUUGCAAUGUGCUCCUCCAAGCUCUGGCUUGAAAAGCAAGCUAGCCCCGCCCUCGCCCAUCCCCGCCCCCGACAAGCUCCGCCCCUACAAGCUCCGCCCUCCCCCAAGCGAAAGUGGGAGGUUCUGUGUUCCCUACAUGGUUGAAACCCCUCUACCUGCCUCAGAAAACCCCAUAUUCAUUAUUGACUCAGGAUAAUCAUCUACCCCAUUGAAUUUACCUGCGAUAGAUGAUCCACAUGACCUUUGGAAGUAGGGCUCUAGGCAGAGCUGGCUCAAUGCCUUUUCACACCCGGAAAGAAUGUCCCCAAUGGAACCCCAUAAAAGAGUGCAGUGAGACCUUGGGCUAAGAAAGGCCUUAGGCCAAAUAAGGUGGGCUGUACUAAGCAAAGAAGCCUCCGAUUGAUCUCUCACCUCCACAUGCACAUGCACAGAGAAAGAAGGGGUAGAGGUGCGUGCAGAGGGAGAAACCUUGAGAGACAGCGAAAGACCCUAGUCCAGGCCUGGUUCCUGCAAAGCUGUCUUGCAAACAUUGCUUGGCAUCCUAAGGCUGACUGUACCAUCGCUAACACUGUCAGGAUAACAUCCAGUGCUUCCCCACCCCUUGAUUUCUGGGGAGGAGAAAUCAGAACAUAACAUACUAAGCGUUUGGCCCUGCAUUUGGCAUAGAAAAAUGCUAGAUAUCAUGGCCCUCCAGAGCCAUCUUGUAUGUAGUCCCGUUCAGUCUGAAUUAAUGUAGUUUUGCUACCAAAGUGUUAGACCUUGUAGUUCGAAUUGAUGGCGGCGUCUCUCAUUAAGAUGAAAUGGUAGGGAGGCUUAAUGAAGUCUGCAGCUUAGUUAAUGGUUUGCACCAACCGCUAAUCCUUGGUUUAGAUUAAUUUAUGGCUAUUUGAGCCGCUAACAUUCCAGGAAGUUGGGUGCAUGAGGUGCAGGGGCUGUGUUUCGGUGGGAGACAAUAAUCUCAUUGUGAGCACCUCAAAAUUGGUAAUGAUACCCACAUUUUUUUAGCGUACUAUUUUAAAAUACCUCUAUGGCUUCCAAGAAACUAAUAAAUGCCAAGCCUUUUGUUACCAAAAUAAGAGACAAUUUAUGUUAGCUCCAGCUGUUCUCACCACCAAGGAAAAUGCAUUGAGUUCCCUGUGUCUGCAAUGUGCCAUAUUGUCCACUACAAUAGCAAACAUUAUCAUUGGGGGGGGAGGGGGACAUGGCUUGUGUGGCAGUCCUUUUAAGGUGGCAGUCUGCAUGUAAGAUACUUGAUAACUUCACUAUUUUGGCCCCCAGUGCGUUCCUUAUUUCACAGGAAAUGGACAGUUUGCUAGCCAUGCCGCUCCAAGCUUUCCCCUUUAUCAAGACGCAACUAGGAAGUGCCGUCGUGUCCAAUAGUGCUAUAGAAGACACUGCUUGCCGCUCCUGAGUACAGGGUCUGCAACCUUCACAGCGACAUGCCAACGCAGCAGUGGGCCCCCACACAUCCCCAGCUCCUCUGGAAAAAUCCACAGACAGCAUGGGGCCAUCUAUGACCACGAGAUGAGCUUGAAUUACGUCACCUUGAUUCCUGACGCUAAAUGGAUCAAUCUGAGACAAGAGGAAGUUUCAUCUCUCAUGCCUUCCUGCGCGGAUAAAUUGGCCUGCUCUGAACAGCAAAUGAAGACCUUCACAGGAAACCACCACCAGACAUAACGCAGAGAUCAACAGAUCGUGGGCCGCUCAUCCCAAUGGACGCCAUUACAUACCCUUCUGCACGGAUACAGCCCCAGCACCCUUGGCUCAGAGAACACCUCUGGAGACUGGGUGGAAUGAUUGUCAGAGCCAAAGAGCAAAGAGUCUGCUGUGAAGUCUCUCCUAGCAAUGGCUGCGUAAACAAGAUCAGAAAAAACGGCAGUAUCGACGAUUAUGUUCAUGGGAAAUGGGAAACUUUCACAGGGUCCCAGCCCUAGACAAAGAACUACAGGUGCCUCUUGAUCCCCUUCAAAAAGUUGUCUCUAAUCAUCUUUGAGCUAAGGAAGCAGUUUGUCACGUUCACCAGGAUCUUGUGUAAAACGGGAGGUGUUUGUUGACUGACAGUAAGAAGAUGGAAACGAACUCUGAGAGCUCUGCGAAUGAGCCCUGUGGUGUUUAUUUCAGAGCCCUUUUUCCUGAGCCGUGUUCUCCGUGGCUGAGACUAUUGGAAAAAUGACCUCUGGGGUAGUUCCUGUCAUUCUGAAGAAGGAGAGGCAGAAAUUAAGGAGAAUCACAAGGGAAAGAAGACCCCACUGUGGAGAUAGAGGUUGUAUUUUCUGCUAUGGGAAGUCAAGAAACUACAACACAAUAAAAUGAAGAUUGCCUGCAGAGACGGUAAACACUGUCUUCCUGACAGGCCUCUGAAGCAGAGAUCUUCAGAGCAAGAGAUGGAACUGCUCUGGGCCAGCAUGCCUGCGACCUUGAGCUUUAUACGACCUUGAGCUUUAUACUUCUAGACAUCCGUCCUUCUAUAUUGAAACAAUACGCCUCAAAAGCCACCUUAUUCUUAGGCAGCUAAAUAGGCUGUAGCGUUGAGAAUAAACUUCUCUUUCUUAAUCA
rnacentral:sRNA from 1 species